CAGUAGCCGCGGGAAAACGUAGGUGGCAAGCGUUGUCCGGAUUUAUUGGGCGUAAAGGGAGCGCAGGCGGUUUAGUAAGUCUGAAGUUAAAGGCAUUGGCUCAACCAAUGUAUGCUUUGGAAACUGUUAGACUUGAGUGCAGAAGGGGAGAGUGGAAUUCCAUGUGUAGCGGUGAAAUGCGUAGAUAUAUGGAGGAACACCGGUGGCGAAAGCGGCUCUCUGGUCUGUCACUGACGCUGAGGCUCGAAAGCAUGGGUAGCGAACAGGAUUAGAUACCCCGGUAGUCCCUGUCUCUUAUACA
rnacentral:rRNA from 1 species